rnacentral:rRNA from 1 species
UAAGGAAUAUUGGUCAAUGGACGCAAGUCUGAACCAGCCAUGCCGCGUGGAGGAUGAAGGCCCUCUGGGUUGUAAACUUCUUUUAUGUGGGACGAAAAAGGGUCUUUCUAGAUCAACUGACGGUACCAUGUGAAUAAGCACCGGCUAACUCCGUGCCAGCAGCCGCGGUAAUACGGAGGGUGCAAGCGUUAUCCGGAUUCACUGGGUUUAAAGGGAGCGUAGGUGGGCUUGUAAGUCAGUGGUGAAAUCUCCGAGCUUAACUCGGAAACUGCCAUUGAUACUAUAGGUCUUGAAUUAUCUGGAGGUAAGCGGAAUAUGUCAUGUAGCGGUGAAAUGCUUAGAUAUGACAUAGAACACCGAUUGCGAAGGCAGCUUACUACGGAUAUAUUGACACUGAGGCUCGAAAGCGUGGGGAUCAAACA